CGGGCCGCCCUUGCGUCAUUCGGCCGCGACCAGGUUCUGCUCUUCCGCUUGGGGCGGUCCCUGGUCCCGGCGGGCGGUUGCCGGACUGGAGGUUGUCCCGGGCUACUUGUCCUCGGGGCUCCCCAUGGAGGAGGCGGCGCGCCCGGCUGCAGCCCCGGAUGCUCGCAGCUCCCACUGGACGGCGACGGAGGCGCUGGCCGCGCGAGCGCAGGGGAGGUCGGCCUGUGUGAGGGUGUGAGCGGCGGUGACCAGAGCGGAAGCCCGCUGUGCAGUCGGCCAGCCCACGGGACCUCUAAACCAGGAACCCCAGGGUGGGGCAGGAGGCGACAACGCAAAGUCACAGGAUGCCGGUGACCUCCAGGUACAUUGUGGGGCCCUGGGAGCUGAGGACACGUGCCAAUUACUGUUCCCCGAGCCUGGAGAGCAGGGUGAUGGUACAGCCACUGCCUUCUUCAAACAACAUCCAUUUUGUCUGUGUGGGAAGAGUCCAUCUUUAUUUCAUCAGUUUCAAUUAUCACUCAUAAAAGGAUCCCUAAAUACCAACUCAACACAUACAAAUCCAUCAACGACUAUGCUUGUAAAUCAGUCCUAUCAACAGGCAUUUGUUGAGCACAUUCCUGGGUCCUAAGUCCUUGCAUGUCAUGGAGCCUUGGAAAGCAAGGUGGGCAGAUGACAUCCCCAAUCUCAUAAAUGAUGAAACCGGCAUCGGGGUGACCUACUCAAGCUGUUAAUGUGAGUGUUCAGAUUCCAGACCCUGGCUUCUCCCACUAUUUCUCUACCUGAGGUUGGGUGAGGGCCUUGGUAUUGACCAGAAGCGCAGAGAAAGAAUCCUGAAAUCAGAUGACCAAUGGUUUCAAGACUGGCUCUGUUGAAUGUUAUGGUGUGGCCUAGGGCAAAUUUCUUAAUGACUUAGUCUCAAAUGACUCAUUUGUAUUGUUAUCAUACUUCCAUGCCUCAAUAAAAGUAUACUUUAAAAAAAUCCAUAUCUGUAGAAUUGCACCUGCGAGAAACUAGGGUUUGCAAGUCAGUUUCCCUAGCCAAAAGGUCGCUU